AUGGUGACACAAUGGGGAGCGGCACUGUUUAACCAAUACCAAUUGAACCAGAUGAAAACUGUGUUCCAGUUUGCUGUUGGAACAGUAAAUAUCAAUCUAUACCAAUUUGUACACGUGUUCUUUUAAACAUUGCAUUAGGCUUCCAUGGAAAGGAUCAAUUUAUGCAGCCCUCUUUUUGUGUUGCGGUGAAUAGAGGGACUGCUCAUGACAAACAUUAACAUGGUAUUAAGAAACGUCUUUUAUUAAAGGAAAUUUAAUAAACAUAAAAAAUUCAAAGCAAGUUUGUUGAAUUGUACAAAGCAUGUCAUCUGUUGUUUUAUUUUCCAAAGUCAAUUAAGUAGGUUAACCAUUUAGAAACUUGAUUGAAGCAAAAUACUAAAUUUGGAAAUGAGCGUAUGAUUUACAGACCUGUGCUUGUUUCCGGAGGUUAGUAUUUUGAAUUUUUUUUAAU
rnacentral:lncRNA from 1 species